rnacentral:rRNA from 1 species
UACGUAGGGGGCGAGCGUUGUCCGGAGUUACUGGGCGUAAAGCGCUUGUAGGCGGUCCACCAAGUUUGGGGUGACAGUUGCCGACUUAAUCGGCAAAGUGCCUCAAAGACUGGCGGACUUGAGGGCCACAGAGGGACAUGGAACUCCAGGUGUAGUGGUGAAAUGCGUAGAUAUCUGGAAGAACACCAAAGGCGAAGGCAGUGUCCUGGGUGGUCGCUGACGCUGAGGCGCGACAGCGUGGGGAGCAAACAGG